rnacentral:rRNA from 1 species
AGGGUUUGAUCCUGUCUCAGAGCGAACGCUGGCGGCGUGGAUAGGGCAUGCAAGUCGAGCGAUCCUGAUCGCAAGAUCGGGAGAGCGGCAAAAGGGUGCGUAGCACGUGGGGAACGUACCCGGCAGCGCGGGAUACCACCGCGAAAGUGGUGUUAAUACCGCAUGUCCUUCCGGGGUCACAUGGUCCUGGGGGGAAAGGUGGCGAAUCCGAAAGGAUGCUACCGUUGUCGGAGCGCCCCGCGUCCCAUCAGCUAGUUGGUAGGGUAACGGCCUACCAAGGCAUUUGACGGGUAGCUGGCCUGAGAGGGUGGUCAGCCACACUGGGACUGAGACACUGCCCAGACUCCUACGGGAGGCUGCAGUCGAGAAUCUUUGGCAAUGGGCGAAAGCCUGACCAUGCGACGCCGCGUUCGGGAUGAAGGCUUUCGGGUCGUAAACCGCUGUCACGAGGGACGAAGGUGUUUUGGGCGAAUAGCCCGAGAUAUUUGACGGUACCUCGAGAGGAAGCCACGGCUAACUCCGUGCCAGCAGCCGCGGUAAUACGGAGGUGGCAAGCGUUGCUCGGAUUUACUGGGUGUAAAGGGCAAGUAGGCGGUUUGGUAAGCCCCAUCUGAAAGGCUCUGGCUCAACCAGAGCAGUGGGUGGGGGACUGCCAGACUUGAGGACAGGAGAGGCGAAUGGAAUUCCCGGUGUAAGGGUGAAAUCUGUAGAGAUCGGGAGGAACACCAGUGGCGAAGGCGAUUCGCUGGCCUGUUUCUGACGCUGAGAGGCGAAAGCUAGGGGAGCAAACAGGAUUAGAUACCCUGGUAGUCCUAGCCGUAAACGAUGCGCACUAGGUGUUGGCUCGCUUUGGCGGGUCAGUGCCGCAGGUAACCCGUUAAGUGCGCCACCUGGGGAGUACGGCCGCAAGGUUGAAACUCAAAGGAAUUGACGGGGGCCAGCACAAGCGGUGGAACAUGUGGUUUAAUUCGAUGCUACGCGAAGAACCUUACCCAGGCUUGACAUGCUUGAAGUAGGAACCUGAAAGGGAACCCACUCGUAUCCAGUCGAGAACUUGCACAGGUGCUGCAUGGCUGUCGUCAGCUCGUGCCGUGAGGUGUUGGCUUAAGUGCCAUAACGAGCGCAACCAUCGCUCAAUGUUGCGACCGGGCCCGCAAGGGUGCCGAGCACUCGUUGGGGACUGCCGGCGACGAGCCGGAGGAAGGUGGUGAUGACGUCAAGUCCGUACGGCCCUUAUGCCUGGGGCUACACACGUGUUACAAUGGGGUCGACAAUGCGCUGCGAGCCCGCGAGGGUAUGCUAAUCGCACAAACGACUCCUUAAUUCAGAUCGCAGGCUGCAACUCGCCUGCGUGAAGCCGGAAUCGCUAGUAACGGCGGAUCAGCUACGCCGCCGUGAAUACGUUCCCUGGCCUUGUACACACCGCCCGUCAAGCGAUGGGAGCCGGAGGCACCCGAAAUCGGUGUACCAACCCGCAAGGGAGGCAGCCGCCUAAGGUGAAUCUGGUGACUGGCGCUAAGUCGUAACAAGGUA